UACGUAGGGGGCAAGCGUUGUCCGGAAUCAUUGGGCGUAAAGCGCGCGUAGGUGGCUUCGUAAGUCCGUUGUGAAAGUCAAAGGCUCAACCUUUGAAAGCCGGUGGAUACUGUCGGGCUAGAGUCCGGAAGAGGCGAGUGGAAUUCCCGGUGUAGCGGUGGAAUGCGCAGAUAUCAGGAGGAACACCGAUGGCGAAGGCAGCUCGCUGGGACGGUACUGACGCUGAGGCGCGAAAGCCAGGGGAGCAAACGGG
rnacentral:rRNA from 1 species